GGCCCAGAUCGUUUACCGUGAAAAAAUUAGAGUGUUCAAAGCAGGCAGAUCCAAUUUUCUGCCACCGAAUACAUUAGCAUGGGAUAAUGGAAUAGGACCCUGUCCUCCUAUUUUCAGUUGGUUUUGGCAGCGCGAGGACUAGGGUAAUGAUUAAUAGGGAUAGUUGGGGGCAUUAAUAUUUAAUUGUCAGAGGUGAAAUUCUUGGAUUUAUGAAAGAUUAACUUCUGCGAAAGCAUCUGCCAAGGAUGUUUUCAUUAAUCAAGAACGAAAGUUAGGGGAUCGAAGACGAUCAGAUACCGUCGUAGUCUUAACCAUAAACGAUGCCGACCAGCGAUUAGGAGACGUUGAAUACAAAACACCACCAUCGGUGCGGUCGUCCUUGGCGUCGGUCUUUCAGAGCCGGCGCGGGGGCGGCUUAGCCCGGUGGCACCGGUGAAUGACUCCCCUAGCAGCUUGUGAGA
rnacentral:rRNA from 1 species